AUUGAACGCUGGCGGCAGGCCUAACACAUGCAAGUCGAACGGUAGCACAGAGAGCUUGCUCUCGGGUGACGAGUGGCGGACGGGUGAGUAAUGUCUGGGAAACUGCCUGAUGGAGGGGGAUAACUACUGGAAACGGUAGCUAAUACCGCAUAACGUCGCAAGACCAAAGAGGGGGACCUUCGGGCCUCUUGCCAUCAGAUGUGCCCAGAUGGGAUUAGCUAGUAGGUGGGGUAACGGCUCACCUAGGCGACGAUCCAUAGCUGGUCUGAGAGGAGGACCAGCCGCACUGGAACUGAGACACGGUACAGACGCAUACGGGAGGCGGCAGUGGGGAAUCUUGCACAAUGGGCGCAAGCCUGAUGCAGCCAUGCCGCGUGUAUGAAGAAGGCCUUCGGGUUGUAAAGUACUUUCAGCGGGGAGGAAGGUGUUGAGGUUAAUAACCUCAGCAAUUGACGUUACCCGCAGAAGAAGCACCGGCUAACUCCGUGCCAGCAGCCGCCGCCGUAA
rnacentral:rRNA from 1 species